rnacentral:rRNA from 1 species
GAUGAACGCUGGCGGCGUGCCUAAUACAUGCAAGUAGAACGCUGAAGCUUGGUGCUUGCACCGAGCGGAAGAGUUGCGAACGGGUGAGUAACGCGUAGGUAACCUGCCUCUUAGCGGGGGAUAACUAUUGGAAACGAUAGCUAAUACCGCAUAAAAGUCGAUAUCGCAUGAUGUUGAUUUGAAAGGUGCAAUUGCAUCACUAAGAGAUGGACCUGCGUUGUAUUAGCUAGUUGGUGAGGUAACGGCUCACCAAGGCGACGAUACAUAGCCGACCUGAGAGGGUGAUCGGCCACACUGGGACUGAGACACGGCCCAGACUCCUACGGGAGGCAGCAGUAGGGAAUCUUCGGCAAUGGACGGAAGUCUGACCGAGCAACGCCGCGUGAGUGAAGAAGGUUUUCGGAUCGUAAAGCUCUGUUGUAAGAGAAGAACGAGUGUGAGAGGGAAAGU